ensembl:miRNA
UUCUGGAGCCCCGGCUCGGGCGGUCUCCCGGGUGUAGACGCUGCUGGUCAGCCCGCCCCAGCCGAGGUUCUCGGCACC